rnacentral:rRNA from 1 species
AAGGCUAAAUACUCCUGACUGACCGAUAGUGAACCAGUACCGUGAGGGAAAGGCGAAAAGAACCCCGGCGAGGGGAGUGAAAAAGAACCUGAAACCGUGUACGUACAAGCAGUGGGAGCACGCUUAGGCGUGUGACUGCGUACCUUUUGUAUAAUGGGUCAGCGACUUAUAUUCUGUAGCAAGGUUAACCGAAUAGGGGAGCCGAAGGGAAACCGAGUCUUAACUGGGCGUUAAGUUGCAGGGUAUAGACCCGAAACCCGGUGAUCUAGCCAUGGGCAGGUUGAAGGUUGGGUAACACUAACUGGAGGACCGAACCGACUAAUGUUGAAAAAUUAGCGGAUGACUUGUGGCUGGGGGUGAAAGGCCAAUCAAACCGGGAGAUAGCUGGUUCUCCCCGAAAGCUAUUUAGGUAGCGCCUCGUGAAUUCAUCUCCGGGGGUAGAGCACUGUUUCGGCAAGGGGGUCAUCCCGACUUACCAACCCGAUGCAAACUGCGAAUACCGGAGAAUGUUAUCACGGGAGACACACGGCGGGUGCUAACGUCCGUCGUGAAGAGGGAAACAACCCAGACCGCCAGCUAAGGUCCCAAAGUCAUGGUUAAGUGGGAAACGAUGUGGGAAGGCCCAGACAGCCAGGAUGUUGGCUUAGAAGCAGCCAUCAUUUAAAGAAAGCGUAAUAGCUCACUGGUCGAGUCGGCCUGCGCGGAAGAUGUAACGGGGCUAAACCAUG